rnacentral:rRNA from 1 species
ACGGAAGGCAGCAGUGGGGGAUAUUGCACAAUGGGGGAAACCCUGAUGCAGCGGCGCCGCGUGAGUGAAGAGGUAUUUCGGUAUGUAAAGCUCUAUCAGCAGGAAAGAUAAUGACGGUACCUGACUAAGAAGCACCGGCUAAAUACGUGCCAGCAGCCGCGGUAAUACGUAUGGUGCAGGCGUUAUCCGGAUUUACUGGGUGUAAAGGGAGCGCAGACGGCAUGGCAAGCCAGAUGUGAAAUGCGGGGGCUCAACUCCUGAACUGCAUUUGGAACUGUCAAGCUAGAGUAUCGGAGAGGUAAGUGGAAUUCCUAGUGUAGCGGUGAAAUGCGUAGGUAUUAGGAGGAACACCAGUGGCGAAGGCGGCUUACUGGACGAUAACUGACGUUGAGGCUCGAAAGCGUGGGGAGCAAACAGGAUUAGAUACCCUGGUA